CAAUGAUCCAAUAUUCCUUUUGAAAUGAACUUACAUUCAGAGCCUAGAUACUUCCCAAAUAAAUAAAACUGAAUAUAUAUGUUUUGAUACGAAAUUAAUCACUUUUUCAUUUGUAUCUUGAGGAUAUUAGAAAAAGGUCGUGAGCUAUGGGACUCGGCGAAGGAGAAGGUCAAGGUAGCGGACGUGGCGGACUUUGUCCGGGCAUUCUAUGGGCAAUCUUAUGGUUCCUCAUCCUGAUUUUCCUGGCAUGGCCAAUCGCGUUCUUCUUCGACUGGUGGUACGUGUUUCUCCUGCCCUUCACAGUUUGCUGUGGAUGUAUGACCACGAUAACGGACUUUCUGUUGAAGAUCGUACAGCUGCCGUUAAAAUGUGCGGAGAAUAUGGUCGGAAUGAAGCCACUUUGCGGGUGAUUGAGACGCCCAUUAAACAAUAGUUAUUAUAGAUAUCUACAGUUCGUGACUUAGAGAUCGGGAAGUGAGUGCUUGAGAUAUGAAAACUUUUCGAGGAACUAUUUUUAACCAAACAAUUAACGUACAAUAAUACGUAUAUAUAUUUCUAGACAAAUGCGGACUAUUUUGACUGUGAUCUUUUAUAGUUUCAAUGUGUUUGAACUCUCUGCACAUUCCAUUUGAUACCAGGUGUAAACCAAAUAAAGAAAAUUUAUUUAAAUAUAUCAAGUACUGUAGGUAUAAAUCAUAUGAACAAAAGCAAUGCUGAGCUCAUUGGGCCUCCUGACGUUAUUCUAAAUCUUGCAUUUCAAAGACAAUAUUUGAGCCUAUAUCGACAUUAGUCGCCCGUAUCUUUAACACUUCUUAUGCUUUGCCAAUUCUUAUUUGGUCAUAUGAAAAAAAAAUGCAUUUUUCAAAAACA